UACGAAGGUGGCUAGCGUUGUUCGGAAUCACUGGGCUUAAAGCGCAUGUAGGCGGUCUCGUAAGCGUCUUGUGAAAGCCCCCGGCUCAACCGGGGAAUCGCUGGGCGAACUGCGAGACUUGAGGCAAGUAGGGGUGCGUGGAACUCUUGGUGGAGCGGUGAAAUGCGUAGAUAUCAAGAGGAACGCCGGUGGCGAAAGCGGCGCACUGGGCUUGUCCUGACGCUGAGAUGCGAAAGCUAGGGUAGCGAACGGGAUUAGAUACCCCGGUAGUCCUAGCCGUAAACGAUGCCUACUAGGUCGGAGCCCCUCUGACGGGGUUCCGGCCGAAACGAAAGCAUUAAGUAGGCCGCCUGGGGAGUACGGUCGCAAGGCUAAA
rnacentral:rRNA from 1 species